GCCGAAGUGGCGGAAUUGGCAGACGCGCUAGGUUCAGGGCUUAGUGAGCGCAAGCUCGUGAGGGUUCAAGUCCCUCCUUCGGCA
rnacentral:tRNA from 1 species